UCAUACCUCUAAUCCAAAGCUCCCAACACAAAGUGUGAGUUUUGUUCGAGUGAUUGAUUUAACUUCCCCAAAUUUCGAUUUAUUAUUAUUAUUAUUAUUUCCGAAACUGCAGGUUUAGUUUUCCAGAAGCAGCCCCUUUUAAAGCCAUCUUGAAAUUCAGAGCCCCUCCCCAAAAUCAUCAAUGGUUUUAACUGGCUUAGAUUAGCAUUUUUGGAGGGAAAAAUAAGAAUUUUGAAUAUAGUGAUGAUUUAGACAGAAUUCCCAGGAGCCCUGUCAUGCAAAUCUCCCACCUUUCGUCUCUUGCCCGUCAACUACGAGUCACUUGAUCACACUUUUGUUACAUGCACGGGACUAGCGGGGCUGCUCGGCUGCAUUAAAUUAGAUUUUGGUGUCUGCAAUCUUGGCGCCUCUUUGCUUUGUGCUAUUUUCAGGCCUAAUAGUCUUGCGCAUUUCCUUGAAAAUCCUCAGAAAUUAUCU